rnacentral:tRNA from 1 species
GUGGCUCAGUAGAAGAGCUCUGGCUCUGCGUGCAGAAGGUCCUGGGUUCAAUCCCUAGCAUUUCCA